UUGUGGGCUUCAUAGGCGCGUUCCAGCUCGCUUAUGUCUAGACCCAAAACUGCUGUCUAUGUAGCUAGCUCGCUAGGUCUUGAGACACGGACUGUGUGUGAGCGACUCUUGGGAGGAUGGUUAGGUAAUAAACCGGUAAAAGUUGUUUCCUGAACUCUUGGUGCGGUUUGUUGAAGGCCAGCCCUGCUGCAGCUCAGACAGGAAAAGGAAGACAGAUGUAGGGGAAGGGAAAAACAGCGAAAUGAAAGGAAAAUAUCGAGACAAAUGACGUUCAACCAUGGAAGUGUCGGAGAAGCCAGCAUCGCACAACGAUGAUAACGGUGAAGAUCUGCAGACCCAGAUAAUCGAGUGCCGAGCCCAGCUGGAACACUGGCAGGGUGUGGCGAGGAUCUGUGAGUUUAGCAAACAGGAGGAGCUGCAAGAACUGCAAAAACAGUUUGACCAGGAGGUUCAGUCAUUGCACGAGGCUCUGAGAGAAACAGCUGCUCAGUAUGAGGCAAGAAUAUCUGCUCUUCAGUCAGAGCGAGCGCAGUGGAGGAGAGCAGCUCUGCCCCAUAACGGCAAGAGAUAUGUUAAAAAGGGCAAGGUGGAGGGUACCUCUCCUCCCACUGGGAGAACACAGGGCAACUCUUCUCCCCCGAGGGGGGCUGAAUCUGAGGGCUCCGGGUCAGACUCCGAUCCACUAGAAUUGUUGGCAGAGGUGUCAGAUUUAGAGACCACAGGCCUUAUGAUGGACUACUUUCCCCAGCACUGCGACUCUGCGUCACUCUCAUCCUUCUCUUUGGACACCCCCUCUUUGCCCAGGCAUCCACCCCCUCAGGAUGACACUGCCUCCCUGAUUUCUACAGGAACGCUGGUACCUGAAGCGAUCUACAUGCCACCACCCGGUCACAGACUGGUCAAUCAUGCUUACUGGAACCAACUGCAAGCACAGCUUAAAGAGUUUCAGGAGGAGGUGACAGAGCUUAGAAAGCAGAAAGCUGAGCUGGAGAAAGUAUUGCAUGUGCAAUCCACAGAGACUCAAAAACAGUUGUCAGUGCUUCAGUCUCAGGUGCACACAUCUGAGGCCCUUCUUCAAGACCUACAGAAAUCUUUUAGCCAAUCUCAGAGUGCCGUUCAGAGCAGAUUGACAGAACUGUCUUACUCUCAAAAGAGAGUUUGUAAUGAACUCUCGAAGUUGAAAGGCAAAGACACUGAGGCGGAUGAAGGAACAGAAGAUGCUCUUCCACCCCUCAGUCCAAAACAACCGGCAGCUCACUGUGAGGAGAGACUUCGUAUUGAAAUCGUGAACCUACAGGAGCAGCUGGAGACGCGCACAGAAGAGAGCGGUGUGAACAUCUCUUCAUUCUCCUCGCUUCAUUCUUCCUCUUAUGAUUUUUUUGACCCCCUCCAUGUUUUUAUCUUUCCUCUUUGUUUACAUUUAAAUUUUGAAUAAUUAAUUCCAUAUCUUUUGUUUCUAUUAUGUUACAUUAUCUUAUGAAGUCUUCUAUGUUAUCUGCAUUUUCAUUGCAAUGACCAUGUGUUCUCCCAUCUUGCCUUUUCUCCUUCUCUUUCUUACAUCACACCUGCUUCUUCAGAGAUUUUAGAAGUCAAGCUUGCCAGCCUGAAGGUAGAGACGGACCGCAUACAGAACCAAAAAGAAAAGCACACAGACGAGAAAUGUCCGCAACUGGAGGAGGACAGACAACAACGGAACUUUCCCCAUUGGACAACCGCAAAGCCUGCAUCAUCGGAGACACGGCUCUGUCCGGGAUUACUAAGGACGGUGACACUGAUGCUCUUGCGACAGAACAAACCGGGCCAUCUAACACCCAAAGUGAAGCGACACCCGUUGUGCCUGAGGAGCUUGAGGAGCCGGGCCCAUCCAUUGCCCCUUCCAUGCGCCGUGCGCCAAGAGUGCUGAGUGAGGCGGUGCUACAAAAUCAAGAGGAAACAACAAAAUCCAUUAAUGACCUAAAGGAUCAACUGAGCAACAUAACGAAUGUAUUGAUUCAAAUCAACGAGUCUCUGAAACAGAUUGCCUCUUGCACAAAUACAAUUGCUAAUAAACCAUAAACCGCUGACUAAUGUGAUUUCAGUUAUUUGUUUCCACGAAGCUGCAAAACACAAAAUGAAAUCGCUGUAAUGUUUCUGCACUCGACCAAUGGCCAGACUUACCUAAAAUGUCUGUAUGAUCCUCUGUCUUGUCUGAAUGCUAGCGGCAUUAGGAGGUGGCAGGGGCACUGCAUCGGGCAUAGGGCCGUCUGGUCUUGGGGGUUCCUGCAGAGGGAUGCCCUGUCUGAUGGCCAAGUUGUGUAGCACACUGCAAGCCAUUAUGAUUUUGCAUGCUUUUUCUGGCUGAUACUGCAGUGUC